UGCCCCUCACUUGCCAAUACGUCUAGAUCAGCCAGGGCGUCGGCAUGUGUAGCGUAUUAUGUUGGGCUCUCUCGAGAUAAGGAUACGAUGUCCCUUUAUCGGUUGGUUUCCUGUGUGUGCGGCCCGUUCGKUUUUUUUGUUACUUUCGCAUCGUUCGGUGCAUUCUGGGGGCUGUGUUGGCUUUUGGUGGCUUGCUUGGCCUUUUGGCUUUGCUUGUUGCUACUUGUCGGGCUGCUUUCGGGAAUGUCGACCGUGGAGGUGCAUGAGUGGUGUUUGGUUUGUUACGUGUGGAUGGCUGUUUGCUUGUGCAACAACGUUCACGCUGCAUACCUCUUCAGUUUUGCGGCAAGGCUUGGUUUGGCUUGUGCAUAUUGUGGGUUUCCUGUGUUGCAUACCUAGUUGAUGGAAAAGUGUGGGUUUUACGAUUUUCAUUUUCGUCUUGCGUCGUUCUUUUGGCGUGGGAUGAACAAUGAAGCGAUCUUUAUGAUCCAUCGUGCUGUUGCGUUUGCAACAAUGAUGUGGCCUAUGAAGCAUCGUUUGGUCUCUUGUAUACGGAAGCUCAUUUGGGCUUGGGUCUUUAUAAGAUCUUCGUUACGCCCUUGUUAAGCGUUCUCGCUUCUCCUAAACGAUUG
rnacentral:misc_RNA from 1 species